AUUGAACGCUGGCGGCAGGCUUAACACAUGCAAGUCGAGCGGGGUGAUGGUGCUUGCACUAUCACUUAGCGGCGGACGGGUGAGUAAUGCUUAGGAAUCUGCCUAUUAGUGGGGGACAACAUCUCGAAAGGGAUGCUAAUACCGCAUACGUCCUACGGGAGAAAGCAGGGGAUCACUUGUGACCUUGCGCUAAUAGAUGAGCCUAAGUGGGAUUAGCUAGUUGGGGGGGUAAAGGCCUACCAAGGCGACGAUCUGUAGCGGGUCUGAGAGGAUGAUCCGCCAAACCGGGACUGAGACACGGCCCAGACUCCUACGGGAGGCAGCAGUGGGGAAUAUUGGACAAUGGGGGGAACCCUGAUCCAGCCAUGCCGCGUGUGUGAAGAAGGCCUUAUGGUUGUAAAGCACUUUAAGCGAGGAGGAGGCUCUUUUGGUUAAUACCCAAGAUGAGUGGACGUUACUCGCAGAAUAAGCACCGGCUAACUCUGUGCCAGCAGCCGCCGCGGUAA
rnacentral:rRNA from 1 species